rnacentral:rRNA from 3 species
UGGGGAAUUUUGCACAAUGGGGGAAACCCUGAUGCAGCGACGCCGCGUGAUUUAGAAGGCCUUCGGGUUGUAAAAAUCUUUUCUAUGGGAAGAAAAUGACAGUACCAUAGGAAUAAGGACCGGCUAAUUACGUGCCAGCAGCCGCGGUAAUACGUAAGGUCCGAGCGUUGUCCGGAAUCAUUGGGCGUAAAGGGUACGUAGGCGGGUAAGCAAGUUAGAAGUGAAAUCCUGUAGCUCAACUACAGUAAGCUUUUAAAACUGCUCAUCUUGAGAUAUGGAAGGGAAAGUGGAAUUCCUAGUGUAGCGGUGAAAUGCGCAGAUAUUAGGAGGAAUACCGGUGGCGAAGGCGACUUUCUGGCCAUAAUCUGACGCUGAGGUACGAAAGCGUGGGUAGCAAACAGG